UCUGCCUCCUACUGUUCGGUGCGGACCGAUUCUCGCUCCUUCAGCCGCGGCUAAGAACCCAGAAAAGGCCCGCAAUAAAGAGAACAAGGACCGCACUGUUUGAAGGCGGUGGUGGAACGCGGAUACCGCAAACAGGGAACCGACACAGGCGGAGAGGAUGUUUUCAAACCAUUCCAAAGGGGGUCUUGAAUGAGGCCACAUGCUGCGACGCUGACGGAGGCUGAGGAGAUGGACAGCUCGUCAGCUGCACGGCGGAGCACUUCCUCCGUCCUCUCACAACGCCAGACUCGUUUCACGCCGUGCCCAUUCUGGGGCAACAUGAGCGGAAGAGCACAUUGUUUAGUAGGUACCAGCAGCAUCGGCUGUUUCACAAAGCCUGCGCAACCUCAGAUGUACAGAAGCACAUAUCUUCGUGACCAACCACAGACGAGCAGUAUCACUCCCUGAGCAGUAUCCUUGUGAGGCUGAAUGAAGGGGCGAGAGGACCCGACAACAAUACAAAAGAUCCCGACGCUGACCAUCACCCGGAAUUAAAUACCGAGCGCAGUACCGGAAGACCCACAGAAAGGAUUCACUCCUGAAUGUGAUGUGCUGCAUUAAGAAUAAACACAUAAUUGCACUGUUCAGUCAACUGUUCAGUCAACAUCAGCAUUCUGACAAACAAAAGGGGGAAUUUAUAAAGGACAACCGCAGAGGAGUAAUUCCCUGUACGUACAGAAUACUCUGUCGAGGGCUGGUUGCGUGAACGACAGUUUUGCUAUAAUGCGAAGCUUGUUCAUCUGAUGUCCUUGUACAUGAAAAAGGUCUUAAAAAAAACUAACACAUCACCUACGGAUGUACAUUUAGG